CCUACGGGUGGCAGCAGUGAGGAAUAUUGGUCAAUGGGCGCGAGCCUGACCCAGCCAAGUAGCGUGAAGGAUGACUGCCCUACGGGUUUUAACUUUUUUUUAUAAAGGAGUAAAGUGUGACACUUGUUCCUUUUUGUGUGUCCUUUAUGUACAAGCAUCCGCUAACUCCGUGCCAGCAGCCGCGGUAAUACGGCGGAUUCGAGAGUUAUCCGGAUUUAUUGGGUUUAAAGGGAGCUUAGAUGGGUUAGUAAGUCAGUUGUGAAAGUUUAGGGCUCAACCGUUAGAUUUCAAUUGAUCCUGGCAGCCUUGAGUACAGUUGAGGUAAGCGGAAUUCGUGGUGUAGCGGUGAAAUGCGUAGAUAUAACGAAGAACUCCGAUGGCGAAGGCAGCUUACUAAACAGCCACUGACAUUGAGGCGCGAAAGUGUGGGUAUCAAACAGGAUUAGAUACCCGAGUAGUC
rnacentral:rRNA from 1 species